GCCUACGGGGGGCAGCAGUGAGGAAUAUUGGUCAAUGGACGAGAGUCUGAACCAGCCAAGUAGCGUGAAGGAUGACUGCCCUAUGGGUUGUAAACUUCUUUUAUAUGGGAAUAAAACAGGGUAUGCAUACCCUCUUGUAUGUACCAUAUGAAUAAGGAUCGGCUAACUCCGUGCCAGCAGCCGCGGUAAUACGGAGGAUGCGAGCGUUAUCCGGAUUUAUUGGGUUUAAAGGGUGCGCAGGCGGAGGUGCAAGUCAGUGGUCAAAUUGCGGGGCUCAACCCCGUACUGCCGUUGAAACUGCAUCC
rnacentral:rRNA from 1 species